rnacentral:rRNA from 1 species
AACGAACGCUGGCGGCAUGCCUAACACAUGCAAGUCGAACGAGACCUUCGGGUCUAGUGGCGCACGGGUGCGUAACGCGUGGGAACCUGCCCUUAGGUUCGGAAUAACUCCCCGAAAGGGGUGCUAAUACCGGAUAAUGUCUUCGGACCAAAGAUUUAUCGCCUUUGGAUGGGCCCGCGUUGGAUUAGCUAGUUGGUAGGGUAAAAGCCUACCAAGGCGACGAUCCAUAGCUGGUCUGAGAGGAUGAUCAGCCACACUGGGACUGAGACACGGCCCAGACUCCUACGGGAAGCAGCAGUGGGGAAUAUUGGACAAUGGGCGAAAGCCUGAUCCAGCAAUGCUGCGUGAGUGAUGAAGGCCUUAGGGUUGUAAAGCUCUUUUACCCGGGAUGAUAAUGACAGUACCGGGAGAAUAAGCGCCGGCUAACUCCGUG